rnacentral:antisense_RNA from 1 species
GUCUAUGGUGGCUGUGCGUGGGAGAUCCUUCCGGGGUCUGCCGGUUUCCUAUUUGACCGGUUCGCCAACCUGCGCGCAGCCGCCCCCCCU